GAGCCUACAGGACAACAUAUCCGGCUCUCGUCAACAGUUACAAGAUCUGGAAAAACAAAAGUAUCAACUACAAACAGAGAAACUAGAAUUAUUUCAGAGCUUCCAAGAAA
rnacentral:ribozyme from 1 species